UUGAGCCGUAUGCGAUGAAAGUUGCACGUACGGUUCUUUUAGGGGGAAAGUCCGAGAGGACCUACCUAUCUUGAC
rfam:Metarhizium acridum CQMa 102 unplaced genomic scaffold Scf_006, whole genome shotgun sequence.